UACGUAGGGCGCAAGCGUUGUCCGGAAUUAUUGGGCGUAAAGAGCUCGUAGGCGGUUUGUCGCGUCUGCUGUGAAACCUCAGGCUCAACCUGGGGCUUGCAGUGGGUACGGGCAGACUAGAGUGCGGUAGGGGUGACUGGAAUUCCUGGUGUAGCGGUGGAAUGCGCAGAUAUCAGGAGGAACACCGAUGGCGAAGGCAGGUCACUGGCCGCAACUGACGCUGGAGGAGCGAAAGCAUGGGGAGCGAACAGG
rnacentral:rRNA from 1 species